UACGGGGGGAGCAAGCGUUGUUCGGAUUUACUGGGCGUAAAGGGCGCGUAGGCGGCCACGAGAAGUCAGUUGUGAAAUCUCUGGGCUUAACUCAGAACGGUCAACUGAUACUGUCGGGCUAGAGUGCAGAAGGGGCAACUGGAAUUCUCGGUGUAGCGGUGAAAUGCGUAGAUAUCGAGAGGAACACCUGCGGCGAAGGCGGGUUGCUGGGCUGACACUGACGCUGAGGCGCGAAAGCUAGGGGAGCGAACGGG
rnacentral:rRNA from 1 species